GAACUCAAGAGUUUGAUCCUGGCUCAGAUUGAACGCUGGCGGCAUGCUUUACACAUGCAAGUCGAACGGGGUAAGAAGCUUGCUUCUUAUCU
rnacentral:rRNA from 1 species